rnacentral:rRNA from 1 species
AGGAAGCACCGGCUAACUCCGUGCCAGCAGCCGCGGUAAUACGGGGGGUGCAAGCGUUGUUCGGAUUUAUUGGGCGUAAAGCGCGUGUAGGCGGUUUUAUAAGUCUGAUGUGAAAGCCCCGGGCUCAACCCGGGAAGUGCAUUGGAUACUGUAAGACUUGAAUACGGGAGAGGGCAGUGGAAUUCCUAGUGUAGGAGUGAAAUCCGUAGAUAUUAGGAGGAACACCGGUGGCGAAGGCGGCUGCCUGGACCGAUAUUGACGCUGAGACGCGAAAGCGUGGGUAGCAAACAGGAUUAGAUACCCUGGUAGUCCACGCCGUAAACGAUGAGAACUAGGUGUCGCGGGUAAAUCG